GACGAACUUUGGCGGCGUGCUUAACACAUGCAAGUCGAACGGUAAGGCUCCAGCUUGCUGGGGUACACGAGUGGCGAACGGGUGAGUAACACGUGGGUGACCUGCCCUGCACUUCGGGAUAAGCCUGGGAAACUGGGUCUAAUACCGGAUAGGACCGCACCGUGAGGGUGUGGUGGAAAGUUUUUUCGGUGUGGGAUGGGCCCGCGGCCUAUCAGCUUGUUGGUGGGGUAAUGGCCUACCAAGGCGGCGACGGGUAGCCGGCCUGAGAGGGUGGACGGCCACAUUGGGACUGAGACACGGCCCAGACUCCUACGGGAGGCAGCAGUGGGGAAUAUUGCACAAUGGGCGGAAGCCUGAUGCAGCGACGCCGCGUGGGGGAUGACGGCCUUCGGGUUGUAAACUCCUUUCACCAUCGACGAAGGGUUUCUGACGGUAGAUGGAGAAGAAGCACCGGCUAACUACGUGCCAGCAGCCGCGGUAAUACGUAGGGUGCGAGCGUUGUCCGGAAUUACUGGGCGUAAAGAGCUCGUAGGUGGUUUGUCGCGUCGUCUGUGAAAUUCCGGGGCUUAACUCCGGGCGUGCAGGCGAUACGGGCAUAACUUGAGUACUGUAGGGGAGACUGGAAUUCCUGGUGUAGCGGUGAAAUGCGCAGAUAUCAGGAGGAAACCCGGGUGCGAAAGGCGGGUCUCUGGGCAGUAACUGACGCUGAGGAGCGAAAGCAUGGGGAGCGAACAGGAUUAGAUACCCUGGUAGUCCAUGCCGUAAACGGUGGGCGCUAGGUGUGGGUUUCCUUCCACGGGAUCCGUGCCGUAGCUAACGCAUUAAGCGCCCCGCCUGGGGAGUACGGCCGCAAGGCUAAAACUCAAAGGAAUUGACGGGGGCCCGCACAAGCGGCGGAGCAUGUGGAUUAAUUCGAUGCAACGCGAAGAACCUUACCUGGGCUUGACAUAUACAGGAUCGCGCCAGAGAUGGUGUUUCCCUUGUGGCUUGUAUACAGGUGGUGCAUGGUUGUCGUCAGCUCGUGUCGUGAGAUGUUGGGUUAAGUCCCGCAACGAGCGCAACCCUUGUCUUAUGUUGCCAGCACGUUGUGGUGGGGACUCGUAAGAAACUGCCGGGGUUAACUCGGAGGAAGGUGGGGAUGACGUCAAAUCAUCAUGCCCCUUAUGUCCAGGGCUUCACACAUGCUACAAUGGUCGGUACAGUGGGUUGCCAGUCCGUGAGGGCGAGCUAAUCCCGCAAAGCCGGUCUCAGUUCGGAUCGGGGUCUGCAACUCGACCCCGUGAAGUCGGAGUCGCUAGUAAUCGCAGAUCAGCAACGCUGCGGUGAAUACGUUCCCGGGCC
rnacentral:rRNA from 1 species